UUGACCUCAGAUCAGGUGGGAUUAMCCGCUGAACYUAAGCAUAUCAAUAAGCGGRGGAAAAGAAAUUAACAAGGAUUCCCCUAGUAACUGCGAGUGAAGCGGGAAGAGCUCAAAUUUAAAAUCUGGCAGCUUUGCUGUCCGAGUUGUAAUUUAGAGAAGCAUUUUCCGCGUCGGACCGUGUACAAGUCUCCUGGAACGGAGCGUCAUAGAGGGUGAGAAUCCCGUCUUUGACACGGACUACCGGGGCUCUGUGAUAUGCUCUCAAAGAGUCGAGUUGUUUGGGAAUGCAGCUCAAAAUGGGUGGUGAACUCCAUCUAAAGCUAAAUAUUGGCGAGAGACCGAUAGCGAACAAGUACCGUGAGGGAAAGAUGAAACGCACUUUGGAAAGAGAGUGAAACAGUACGUGAAAUUGCUGAAAGGGAAACGCUUGAAGUCAGUCGCAUCUGCCAGAACUCAGCCCUCUGUGGUGUACUUUCUGGUGGAUGGGCCAGCAUCACUUUUGGUCAUUGGAAAAGGGCAGGGGAAAGUGGCACCUUCGGGUGUGUUAUAGUCCCUUGUCGUAUACAGUGGCUGGGAGUGAGGAAUGCCUUUUUGCAGGAUGCUGGCGUAAUGGCUUUAAACGACCCGUCUUGAAACACGGACCAAGGAGUCUAACAUGCCCGCGAGUGUUCGGGUGGAAAACCCGUGCGCGUAAUGAAAGUGAAAGUUGGGAAGGCUGUCAUGGCCUGCACCGACGCCCGGACCUGAGAUUUAUCGACGGUUCUGCGGUAGAGCGUGUAUGUUGGGACCCGAAAGAUGGUGAACUAUGCCUGAAUAGGGUGAAGCCAGAGGAAACUCUGGUGGAGGCUCGUAGCGAUUCUGACGUGCAAAUCGAUCGUBAAAUUUGGGUAUAGGGGCGAAAGACUAAUCGAACCAUCUAGUUGUUG
rnacentral:rRNA from 1 species